rnacentral:rRNA from 1 species
UACGGAGGGUGCAAGCGUUAUCCGGAUUUACUGGGUUUAAAGGGUGUGUAGGCGGGCUUUUAAGUCAGUGGUGAAAUCUCCGGGCUCAACCCGGAAACUGCCAUUGAUACUAUUAGUCUUGAAUUUUUGUUGAGGUAGGCGGAAUAAGUCAUGUAGCGGUGAAAUGCAUAGAUAUGACUUAGAACACCAAUUGCGAAGGCAGCUUACUAAGCAAAUAUUGACGCUGAGGCACGAAAGCGUGGGGAUCAAACAGG